rnacentral:rRNA from 1 species
GACGAACGCUGGCGGCGUGCUUAACACAUGCAAGUCGAACGGAAAGGCCCUGCUUGCCGGGUGCUCGAGUGGCGAACGGGUGAGUAACACGUGGGUGAUCUGCCCCUUACUUUGGGAUAAGCCUGGGAAACUGGGUCUAAUACUGGAUAGGACCAUGCUGUAGGUGGUGUGGUGGAAAGAUUAGUUUCGGUAAGGGAUGAGCUCGCGGCCUAUCAGCUUGUUGGUGGGGUAAUGGCCUACCAAGGCGUCGACGGGUAGCCGGCCUGAGAGGGUGGACGGCCACAUUGGGACUGAGAUACGGCCCAGACUCCUACGGGAGGGAGCAGUGGGGAAUAUUGCACAAUGGGCGCAAGCCUGAUGCAGCGACGGCGCGUGGGGGAUGACGGCCUUCGGGUUGUAAACCCCUUUUAGCCAUGGCGAAGCCCUUGUGGUGACGGUAGUGGUAGAAGAAGCACCGGCUAACUACGUG